rnacentral:rRNA from 1 species
UCGAACGGUAACAGGAAGCAGCUUGCUGCUUCGCUGACGAGUGGCGGACGGGUGAGUAAUGUCUGGGAAACUGCCUGAUGGAGGGGGAUAACUACUGGAAACGGUAGCUAAUACCGCAUAAUGUCGCAAGACCAAAGAGGGGGACCUUCGGGCCUCUUGCCAUCGGAUGUGCCCAGAUGGGAUUAGCUAGUAGGUGGGGUAACGGCUCACCUAGGCGACGAUCCCUAGCUGGUCUGAGAGGAUGACCAGCCACACUGGAACUGAGACACGGUCCAGACUCCUACGGGAGGCAGCAGUGGGGAAUAUUGCACAAUGGGCGCAAGCCUGAUGCAGCCAUGCCGCGUGUAUGAAGAAGGCCUUCGGGUCGUAAAGUACUUUCAGCGGGGAGGAAGGCGGUGAGGUUAAUAACCUCAUCGAUUGACGUUACCCGCAGAAGAAGCACCGGCUAACUCCGUGCCAGCGGCCGCGGUAAUACGGAGGGUGCAAGCGUUAAUCGGAAUUACUGGGCGUAAAGCGCACGCAGGCGGUCUGUCAAGUCGGAUGUGAAAUCCCCGGGCUCAACCUGGGAACUGCAUUCGAAACUGGCAGGCUAGAGUCUUGUAGAGGGGGGUAGAAUUCCAGGUGUAGCGGUGAAAUGCGUAGAGAUCUGGAGGAAUACCGGUGGCGAAGGC